AAUCUGCAAUGGAAUGUUUUCAAACCAAAACAUAUGACACUGCUCUAAGAGCCACAACAGCUUUCAAUAUGAUAAACAGCAAAAUAAAAAUAAAAGCAUACAAACAGCAGAUGAUAAGGAUUUAUGCUCGUAUAAUUAAGUUUGAUUAUUUUUUUAUUCUUUCUUAUAAGACAGAAAUUUAUUGAUACACAAAUACCUCAGGUCCAUCAGGAAUAGACAACAACAACAACAAACUGAUAGCACAAAAAUGAUGCUCAAAUUUAAUGGCAAAAAGGCACUGAAGAUGUAUUCUUGGAGGAGGUAGCUCUAUCAGGCAUCACUUGGAAUAGCAAAAAUGGGUUUCAGACAGUGGGUUGCUUUUUGCCAUUUUUCUUCUUCAAACAGGACCUGUAUGAGCAUGUUCUUGUAAAGCAACACCAACAGAGUUGUAGACUACUACUUUGCACUGCACAAAUUAUGUCUUCUCUGCAGUUGCUACCGGCAAGUAACCAUACCAGGAUGCUUAUUUCAAAGGUGAAAAAUCACACCAUCAUUGACUCUCACAAAGAAAU